rnacentral:rRNA from 1 species
CUAACACAUGCAAGUCGAGCGGUAGCACAGAGAGCUUGCUCUCGGGUGACGAGCGGCGGACGGGUGAGUAAUGUCUGGGAAACUGCCUGAUGGAGGGGGAUAACUACUGGAAACGGUAGCUAAUACCGCAUAACGUCGCAAGACCAAAGUGGGGGACCUUCGGGCCUCAUGCCAUCAGAUGUGCCCAGAUGGGAUUAGCUGGUAGGUGGGGUAACGGCUCACCUAGGCGACGAUCCCUAGCUGGUCUGAGAGGAUGACCAGCCACACUGGAACUGAGACACGGUCCAGACUCCUACGGGAGGCAGCAGUGGGGAAUAUUGCACAAUGGGCGCAAGUGUAUGCAGCCAUGCCGCGUGUGUGAAGAAGGCCUUCGGGUUGUAAAGCACUUUCAGCGGGGAGGAAGGCGGUGAGGUUAAUAACCUCAUCGAUUGACGUUACCCGCAGAAGAAGCACCGGCUAACUCCGUGCCAGCAGCCGCGGUAAUACGGAGGGUGCAAGCGUUAAUCGGAAUUACUGGGCGUAAAGCGCACGCAGGCGGUCUGUCAAGUCGGAUGUGAAAUCCCCGGGCUCAACCUGGGAACUGCAUUCGAAACUGGCAGGCUAGAGUCUUGUAGAGGGGGGUAGAAUUCCAGGUGUAGCGGUGAAAUGCGUAGAGAUCUGGAGGAAUACCGGUGGCGAAGGCGGCCCCCUGGACAAAGACUGACGCUCAGGUGCGAAAGCGUGGGGAGCAAACAGGAUUAGAUACCCUGGUAGUCCACGCUGUAAACGAUGUCGAUUUGGAGGUUGUGCCCUUGAGGCGUGGCUUCCGGAGCUAACGCGUUAAAUCGACCGCCUGGGGAGUACGGCCGCAAGGUUAAAACUCAAAUGAAUUGACGGGGGCCCGCACAAGCGGUGGAGCAUGUGGUUUAAUUCGAUGCAACGCGAAGAACCUUACCUGGUCUUGACAUCCACAGAACUUUCCAGAGAUGGAUUGGUGCCUUCGGGAACUGUGAGACAGGUGCUGCAUGGCUGUCGUCAGCUCGUGUUGUGAAAUGUUGGGUUAAGUCCCGCAACGAGCGCAACCCUUAUCCUUUGUUGCCAGCGGUUAGGCCGGGAACUCAAAGGAGACUGCCAGUGAUAAACUGGAGGAAGGUGGGGAUGACGUCAAGUCAUCAUGGCCCUUACGACCAGGGCUACACACGUGCUACAAUGGCAUAUACAAAGAGAAGCGACCUCGCGAGAGCAAGCGGACCUCAUAAAGUAUGUCGUAGUCCGGAUUGGAGUCUGCAACUCGACUCCAUGAAGUCGGAAUCGCUAGUAAUCGUAGAUCAGAAUGCUACGGUGAAUACGUUCCCGGGCCUUGUACACACCGCCCGUCACACCAUGGGAGUGGGUUGCAAAAGAAGUAGGUAGCUUAACCUUCGGGAGGGCGCUUACCACUUUGUGAUUCAUGACUGGGGGAAGUCGU